UCAGAAAAUGGGAAGGGGGAAACGGCACAAAACCGUUUUAGGGGGAAAUUUGACCCAUAAACUCACCAAACUUGACCCGCUUGUAUCUUUUUCAUCCGAGCUCCGUUUUGGAUGAUUUUGGUGUCCCUGGAAAGCUCUUGACGAGCUCUACAUCUCUGUGAUUUUAUAUUUUCCCAUUUCUUUUUCCAUCCGUGCAGUUCGAGGUCGCAAAGUCCACGACCUUGCCGGCGGAUUUAUCAUCUUUUCGGCGAUUCAGGCAACGAUUUCCUUCGAGUGAGGUUUUUGAACUAAACAAUUCAAAGGGUAGGCAGGAUGGGAUUGUGUCAGAUGAAAAAAUGAGUGCUGGGGGACGACACUAACAAGGAAGAAAAGAAUGAACUCCCAAAGAGAAAGUCCAGAUAGAGAAGAGCGUCCCAGGCACAAACACAAAGAAAAAGCUUGAAUAAAAAAUAAAAUAUUAUUGAGUUAAUAACAAAAUAUUAUUAAAUGUGUAUUUAAUAAUAUAAAGUUAUAGUUGUUAACUAUUCUUUUUUUUAGUCCGGCACUCUACCAAAUGCUUCACUAAAUCAGUCCAGCUUAGUCUAGUCUAAGUCAAUCUAACUUAGUCCCUCAAGCUAGUCUAGUCUGAGUUAAUCCGGUGCAACAAACGCACCCUUAGUGUUUACCCUGACUUGGGAGCUUAGGGAUUUUCCUACGUCUGCUAUGUACAUUUUCAGAGUUUAUUUAAAUGCAUACAUGUAAGAUACCUUCA